GACGAACCGUGCGAACGUUGUUCGGAAUUACUGGGCGUAAAGGGCUCGUAGGCGGCCAACUAAGUCAGACGUGAAAUCCCUCAGCUUAACUGGGGAACUGCGUCUGAUACUGGAUGGCUUGGAUUCGGGAGAGGAAUGCGGAAUUCCAGGUGUAGCGGUGAAAUGCGUAGAUAUCUGGAGGAACACCGGUGGCGAAGGCGGCAUUCUGGACCGAUAUUGACGCUGAGGAGCGAAAGCCAGGGGAGCAAACGGG
rnacentral:rRNA from 1 species